GUGGGGAAUCUUCCGCAAUGGGCGAAAGCCUGACGGAGCAACGCCGCGUGAGUGAAGACGGCCUUCGGGUUGUAAAGCUCUGUUAUAUGGGACGAACGGGCGUAUGGUCAAUACCCAUACGCCGUGACGGUACCGUAAGAGAAAGCCACGGCUAACUACGUGCCAGCAGCCGCGGUAAUACGUAGGUGGCAAGCGUUGUCCGGAAUCAUUGGGCGUAAAGGGCGCGCAGGCGGUUCGGUAAGUCGGUCUUAAAAGUGCGGGGCUUAACCCCGUGAUGGGAUUGAAACUGCCGGACUGGAGUGUCGGAGAGGAAAGCAGAAUUCCUAGUGUAGCGGUGAAAUGCGUAGAUAUUAGGAGGAAUACCAGUGGCGAAAGCGGCUUUCUGGACGACAACUGACGCUGAGGCGCGAAAGCCAGGGGAGCAAACGGGAUUAGAAACCCCGGUAGUCC
rnacentral:rRNA from 1 species